rnacentral:misc_RNA from 1 species
CUCACUUUAUGAUUUUAUAGUUUAAUAUCACUAUGUUUUAGAAUUCAGAACUAAGAAAUUUUAGUAUAAGAAAAACAAAGAAAGCAUAUGAGAAGUUAAAGGUGGACGUGAUUGAGAAAAUGAGAAAGACAUAUGAUGAAAGUGAACAAAUAAACCAAUAUAAACGAGUGUCCAGAGAAUGUGGUCCCAAUCCUAAAUAAGAUUGUAAAUACUGACACCAAAUGGAAUUACCAGAACCUUGGCAUGGAUUCAUUGAGUUAAAUCAUUCGCAUAC